CAAUUAUUUUCUUCAUCAUUAACCUAAGCCACAGUUUAAAUGACUCCUCAAUAGAAACUUAUGUGUUGUAGCUGUGUGACACUUCUUUGUUUGUAUUUUUAAUCAUCAGAACUCUAUUUAAACUAACAUUAUUAUUAUCACUUAGACAGUACAGCUUAGGAAGAAAUCACCUUCAUAAUAAUCCACAGGUAAAAAUGCCCAGGAGAAUGGGUUGUUUCCAUGAGACAAACACACUACAUUACAGGCAGUGGGGAUCUCCCCACACCCAUUCACACCGUGCCAGAUACCAGAGAGAGAUGGCGGGAGCAAGAGACCUUCUG